GAUGAACGCUGGCGGCGUGCCUAAUACAUGCAAGUCGAGCGAAGCGGGGACGCGUGAGUCACACGUCGGUAACCCCCUAUAUGACUGGGAUAAAUUCGGGAAAACGGAGCUAAUCCGGACACUUAUAGAUUGUUCCGCGCUGCAUUAGCUGGUUGGUAAGGUAACGGCUUACCAAGGCAACGAUGCAUAGCCGACCGGAGAGGGUGAGCGGGCACAAAGGAACUGAGACACGGUCCAGACUCCUACGGGCGGCAGCAGGAGUGAAUCUUCCGCAAUGGGCGAAAGCCUGACGGAGCAACGCCGCGUGUGUGAUGAAGGUCUUCGGAUCGUAAGACUCUGUUAUGAGUGAAGCGGUACCUAAUCAGAAGGCGACGGCUAAGUCCGUGCCAGCAGCCGCGGUAAUUC
rnacentral:rRNA from 1 species